UUAUAUUUUAUCAGGAAUGUCAAAGAUGCAGAAAAUGUUUAAAAUGUUACUCAUUUGGACUUCACUUUGGUUUUAAUCGCCUUGCACUUCUUUCCAAGCUGCUUUGCACCACAUGGACAUGGUCAUCUGCUACAUUUUUAAGGGACCGCCAUUUUUUCAAAGACUCUCAGGCUUCUGAACCUCUUCCACUCCAAGGGCGGAACCAUGGGGUUGAGGCAGUGAAGGCUAUCCUACUCAAGGCUCCAAGCAAUCCUAGCAUCAACAUGACCAUAGAUGCUGUUAUUCAGUGUUGGUGAACCUUGGGGAAUCUACAGAUCAACUUUUAAAAGAGCAUGAUGAUGCUGAUGAAGACAGUGUGUAACAGGACCUUGCUGUAAAAAGGAGGAAAAUCAACAUCAUUAAAACUACUACGUCAGAGGGUCCUGACGAUAUCGGUAUCGUGGUAGAGGGCAUGAAAAUUCUGAUUGCUCUGGGUAACUUUCCAAGGGCUCCAUGGUCGUUGGUUUGGCAUACAGUGAAUCUUGCCUAUCCCAAGGAACUCAGGUACACGUUUGAAUUCUUCCAGAAACUCCUUCUCAAGCUGGAUUGCUUAAAACUGUCCCCAAAAGUGAACAGCCUCAAGAAUAAGCUACUAGUUUAAGAAACGGGACCCUCACAGAAUGAAGUGGAACCAUUAAGUCAUUGUCCAAACUGUCACAUGAUGACCCACUCACUGUGGAGGAGCUACAAACUGUCACUGAAGGAGACAUUCUCCGAGUAAUAUUUGAUGACUGAGUUGAGAUGUUGCUUAUUCCAUCAGGAAUCCCAUCCACUGUGGAGGAGCUGCAAAUUGUUGUGAAAGAGUCCUUUGGAGUUCAGUUUUCAGUAUUUAAACUUUUAGAUUACUUUACUCUCCAUAAAAGUGACCAAAUUAAACAUAAAGACACCAUAAAGACUGUACACACUGCUCUGUCUGUUCUAAACUUGAUUUCACUUGAUGAAAGUUUGGGCAGUGCUUUUGAGCAGUUACGUAACUGACUAAAAAAUUAUUGAGUUUCAAAUGGUUGCUUAUCAAAAAAACUGGCCAUACUCAUUUGAUGGGUAUGGAAUUUUGUUUUAGAGUUAAUAUGGCCCAGGCAGGAGUGUUGUGAUUGUAGGUUGUGAUUCCACUGUGUACACUAAGGAUGCAAAUUUGACAUAGGCGAUUGUUCAAGUGAGAACUAAAAAAAUAUUUUGCAGUCUGAAAACAUUGUCUUAAUCUAAAUGAGAAUCUAAAGCAAUGCUGUAAUGUGGUAAUGAUCCAGCAGAUGGCAGACAUGUGACAUAUUGGAUGCUAAAGCCCACAAAACUACCACACUAUUCCUGUUAUUACUCCCUCUUACCACCAAUAUACAAUGCUUUGUAUAAUUAUUAGUAGUAGAUGACAUUUUAUGAGCAGUAGCAGUAACAGCAGCAGGGUUUAUAUGGACACAUUGACCACAAAAGACAUGAAAAAUCCAGUGCUUGCUGAAAAUUGUUGCGACAUAAUAAGAAUAGAGCUGUCUAUUAGCUUGUUGGUCUUUUCUCUUAAUCCUGUUUUGGCUUCGUCACACAGCCAGUGUGUAGGCCGAGCUCACUGAUAUUUUUACCUCCUUUGGGAAAUAAUUCUUUGAUCCACACUCAAACGCAUGUUGAGUUUAAUAUCUCUUAUGAACAGCUACAGAAUAAAAAAAACCCACCCAAUUAAUCCUGCAAAAUGAAAUGACAAGUACAAAGUUAGAUAUGACUUCAACGCACUUUAAUAUUCAUUCAGUCUACAUGUCCUGUGAAAUAUUUCCAUCUUCUGGUGAACAGAAUAACUGCAGGUUAUGAGCUCAGGCAGGACUUGUGGAAUAAUUACUCACUCUCCUAUGUGUUGUACAAAUUUUGGAGCAUGUGGAAAUGUUUCACGAGCAGCUAUGAACUCAUUAACAAGGGAUAAAUAAAGUUAUGGUUGGCAAUCAG